UGGAGUGUGACAAUGGUGUUUGUGUCCAAACUAUCAAACGCCAUUAUCACACUAAAU
rnacentral:pre_miRNA from 1 species